rnacentral:rRNA from 1 species
CCCAAGUUUGACUCCCCGAAACUGGAUGAGCUACUUCGAAACAGCUUUUAGAGCCAACCCGUCUCUGUUGCAAAAGAGUGGGAUGAUUUCCAAGUAGAGGUGAUAAGCCUAUCGAAUCCAGAGAUAGCUGGUUAUUCAGGAAAAGAAUUUUAGUUCUACCUUAAGUUUCUUCAUUACUAUAAAAACCCUAUAGACUUAAGAGCUAUUCAAAUAAGGCACAGCUUAUUUGAAAAAGGAUACAACCUAGUACAAUGGGUAAGAUACAACAUACUUGUCCUAAGUGGGCCUGAAAGCAGCCACCUUUUAAAAAGCGUUAAAGCUUAAUAUUACCUUUACUCACCAAUUCCAACAUUCCUACGAACCCUUAACUACAACUGAAUAAUUCUAUAAUUCUAUAGAAGAUAUAAUGCUAAAACUAGUAACAAGAAGUUGACCUUCUCCAAAAUGCAAGCAAAGACCUAAUCGGACCAACCAUUGGUUAAUAACGCCUAUGAACUAAAUAUAGUAACUCACUCUAGUAAACUCUAUAAAUAAAAGCGUUAACCUUACACAAGAGCAUUUCUGGGAAGAUUAAAAGAAAAAGAAGGAACUCGGCAAAUCCAGGCCUCGCCUGUUUACCAAAAACAUCGGCUCUUGACUUCCAUAAGAGGUCCAGCCUGCCCAGUGAUACUAUUAAACGGCCGCGGUACCCUGACCGUGCGAAGGUAGCAUAAUAACUUGUUCUUUAAAUGGGGACUAGCAUGAACGGCAUCACGAGGGUCUCACUGUCUCCUUUUUCUAAUCAGUGAAACUGAUCUCCCCGUGAAGAAGCGGGGAUAAAAAUAUAAGACGAGAAGACCCCAUGGAGCUUUAAACCCAAUAGACACCUCUGACUAAUCUAACCCAAAACACUUCUUAAGUUCUGUCUAUUGGUUUUAGGUUGGGGUGACCACGGAGUACAAUAAAUCCUCCAUGACGUACGGGACUUCCCUCUUAUCCUUGAACCACAUUUCUAAGAAUCAACAAAUUGACGUUUGAUGAUCCAAUAUAUUGAUCAACGGACCAAGUUACCCUGGGGAUAACAGCGCAAUCCAUUUUAAGAGCCCCUAUCGCCAAAUGGGUUUACGACCUCGAUGUUGGAUCAGGGUAUCCUAGUGGUGCAGCUG